GCUUUUCUUCUGGCCGAGGGCUGGGUGUGCUUGCAGGUUCCAGGGCUUAGCCAAGGCCGGGCCGGAAAGCGUCCUGGCUCCUGCUGCCGGUGCGCCCUGAGCCCUGAGUGGCUGCAGGAACUGGCGGGGGGACUGCCUGAGGGCCCUGCUGCUGUGGCACAGCAGGGGCAGGGACAGAAGCGGUCGAAAAAGGACCCUCCCAGGAAAGGAGGGGUGGCAGGUUCUGCAAACCCACCAAAAAGGAAAAGAGAAAGAGAAAAAGAAAGCCCCUUUGUAUGGCGGGGUCUCAGUAGCGGUGCAUCCUUUUGCUCCAGCAGGCAGACGUCACGUGCCUUUGAAGAGACUCCACUUCAGAGUGGCCAGGAUGGAUCAGGUCUGCUCCCUGGACAGGCUGCCGUGGCAGUGAUUCCUGCCCCCCCCGGCCCCCCCAGGCAUCCUGCACACUACAGGCGAGUAGGGCCCGGUCUGGCCCGGUCCAAGAGGAUACGAAAUGCAGGGGGGCGUUUGGCUUGCAGCUGGGGGAGUCCUCCUGUUCCUACUCGUGGGGACCCACGCAGAGCACUCCUCCAGGCCACGGUAAGUCCUGCGCUUUUGUCCACGGCCCGUGGGCGCACUGGGGCGGCUGCGGAAUUUCAGACCUGGGAUUUGGGUGCAAUAAUAAGAACGUUUUGAGAGAGAGAAGUCCGAUGGUUCUGCUGGGAUUCGUAGGGCCUUUUUUUCACAAACCAUGUGUUGGAUGCACCCGUGCCGGUUCCAUGCCUUCCUGUGUUUGACCGGAUAUUAUCCCUAGAGGUCUGCCUGGCACCGUCAUUAUAUGUUUUUUGGCCCCAGGUCAAGACCUUUGUAUUCGGCCAAUAUUUUAACAUAUAAUUUUAGUGAUAUGACUUAUAAAUAAAUUAAUAUAAUUUAUUUAUAAUAAAUUAACUAUUCCACACUGAGCCUCAUUUAAAAUAUAAAUAUGAGGCUGAGUGUGGAAUAGUUAAUUUAUUUUAUUCUGAAAUAAUGUUGCAAGCCGUCCAGAGAUGACAGGAAUGGACGGCAUACAAAUCUUUUUUUUUUAAGAAAUUUUAUUAGGAUUUCAAACUAAUACUACAAAUAUCAAUCGUCACACACAUCGGAUUUACUGGGUCAGCCCCCUACUACAUAUCUUUUAACAUUCUAUGAUCAUACUAAAAUCCAUUUAUAAUAACUUGAAAACAUCUUUAGAUCAGAACCUAGUCCCAUUUCUCCAGCCAAUUAAAAAAAAAAAGUAAUUCCAAAUUUGAUAGAAGUCACUAUCUUCCUCCUCUUCAUCAGUGAAAUCAGUCUCAUCAUUUCUUGCAAAAUCUUGUUUCUCUUGACCAAUGUCCAAGCGGGAACAAGAGGGCAGAUCCUCCCCAGGCACAAGCUGCAUCCCAGUGUCCUGCUUAAGGUAUCAGAGUGUCCUCAUUUGCAUGUCUUGAUCACAACAUUGAUGAGUCUCCUCUCAGCCCGAACAGGGACCCCAGAAGGACUCGAAACUGAAACUUCAAACAAGCCUGAGAACUCAUCAAAACACAUCUGAAAACUUAACACACUCUGGAAACCUUAAAAAAUCUGAAAACUUAAACAGACCUGAAAACUUAAAACACAAAAAAACCCUGAAACCUUUUUAAAGAAGAACUUUUUAAAAAUCUGAACAUUAUAAAAGCAAAAGCAUUCUGAAAAUGUAAAAAAAUGGGGAACAAUGUUAAAAACCAAAUCUGAAAACUAUUAGAAACCUUCUCUGGAACAACUCUGAAAUCUUUUAAAAACUGCUUU
rnacentral:lncRNA from 1 species